rnacentral:rRNA from 1 species
UACGGGGGGUGCGAGCGUUGUCCGGAAUCACUGGGCGUAAAGGGCGCGUAGGUGGUUUGAUAAGGGUGUGGUGAAAGUCCGGGGCUCAACCCCGGAUCUGCCGUGCCAACUGUCAAACUCGAGGACUGUAGAGGCAGACGGAAUUCCGGGUGUAGCGGUGGAAUGCGUAGAGAUCCGGAGGAAGACCGGUGGCGAAGGCGGUCUGCUGGGCAGUUUCUGACACUGAGGCGCGACAGCGUGGGGAGCAAACAGG